rnacentral:rRNA from 1 species
AGUGAACGCUGGCGGUAGGCCUAACACAUGCAAGUCGAACGGCAGCACAGUAAGAGCUUGCUCUUACGGGUGGCGAGUGGCGGACGGGUGAGGAAUACAUCGGAAUCUACUUUUUCGUGGGGGAUAACGUAGGGAAACUUACGCUAAUACCGCAUACGACCUACGGGUGAAAGCAUGGGAUCUUCGGACCUUGCGCGAUUGAAUGAGCCGAUGUCGGAUUAGCUAGUUGGCGGAGUAAAGGCCCACCAAGGCGACGAUCCGUAGCUGGUCUGAGAGGAUGAUCAGCCACACUGGAACUGAGACACGGUCCAGACUCCUACGGGAGGCAGCAGUGGGGAAUAUUGGACAAUGGGCGCAAGCCUGAUCCAGCCAUGCCGCGUGGGUGAAGAAGGCCUUCGGGUUGUAAAGCCCUUUUAUUGGGAAGGAAAAGCAGCAGGUUAAUACCCCGCUGUUCUGACGGUACCCAAAGAAUAAGCACCGGCUAACUUCGUG